rnacentral:lncRNA from 1 species
AAAGAUUCUCCUCCCUGUUCUAUAGAUUGAAUAGAAUGACAGAGAAGAAAAAAUGGUGACAGGUGGAGGAAGAAAUGAGGCCUUCAAUUCAACCUUACAAGCAAGCACUCACACAACCCUGUGUAAGAUGUCACCACCUUUGCAUAAUGUAAAGACUGCAACAAAGUGAUGGAGGUGAAACCAACACAAUAAGUCACCUCAUCAAAAAAGAAAAAAAGAGCUUCCUAUCAAAUACUCUUUUCCCUCCCACUUCAGCUGGGGAGGAACAGAAUGUUUGAAACACAUUUUCUUUAGACACCUAGCAGGAUAUAACCCAUGAUAUCUAAUAUACAUUUAAAAUAAUAGAGAUAUAAGCCAUAGUAACUUAUGUAUGAUUCAAAUUUCCCACCCCACUCCACCGCCUUUUUUUAAGGUCGAACAACCUGACUAAACUUCAAGGGCAGCACGUUUUACUAAUCCCCAGCUAACAGACCUGUGAGUUGUUUUUCUCUCCUCUGUCAGAAAUAUGUGGUGGUGGAUGGCUUAUCCAUCCAUGUGUGGUAGAUGGCUUAUCAAUAUCAUUCUGUGACAUAGCAAACAAUUAACCCUAUAAUUCAAGAAAAAAUCAUAGCAGGUAUUCAGUUGUACAAAAAAAGGUGCAAAAAUUGUAUAACUAUAAAACUGUAUAACUGCUGGCCUCAACUUAAAUACCAUGAAGGCAAUAAAACUCGAGCACCAGAAAACAAUGUGGCAUAGAGACUGGUAAAAUAAGAUAAAGGUUUCCAACAUUUCUG